UCCUCCUCCUCCUCCUCCUCCUCCUCCUCCUCCUCCUCCCCUCCAGCAGAAGGUCUCCCGGGCGCCUGGGGCGCGGUGGCAGGUUGCAGGCUGUAUGGCGGUGAGAGAGCUGGCCCUGUCGAGCCAGGACGGAGGGCUGUGCUGGGUGGAAAUGGGCUCCCCCAGGUGAACGAGCAACGCCCACCCAAGCAGCCACAGCGCAAACAAAUGUGCCUUUCCCCAGCCCAUUGACUUUUUUCGUCAGCUGAGGACACAACAGCAGAAUAAGGGAAAACGUAUCUUUUUAUUUCCCCCCCCCCGCUCUUGCUAACUCCGGCCGUCCCCUCGGUGCAGCUCCAGAAGGAAUGAAUAAAAUUAUUUUGUUCAAGGCACUUCUGCUCCAGAGCAUAAAAUUACUCAGCAGUUGCAGGACCAGGUCAUUGUAGAUAUUUUUAUCCUGUGUCUAUUUUGCUCUGCCUCAGACUGACGUGUUAUGGAUGCUUCCAAUUAACAGUGCAUGAACGUAAACAACGCUUUACUCAUCAAAAGAGGAAUUUAUUUAUUAUUUUUUUUUAGUUAUGUUUGCAAAAACGUAUUCAUGUUCAGAUUUUCUUUACGCAAAAACGAAAGCACCUGAACUCCAGGCCAGGGAAGGUUUGCUGAGCAGAGUGUAGGAGCCCGGCGACACCAUGUUAUAUAAACAAACUGGUGUUUUUGAAAGCAGACCUAGAGGAGUUUGCAAAUGCAUUUAUUUAAGCAAGCAACCCAUCUGCUCCUACCAAUAAUGGAUUCGCAGACCAAUUGUGUAUUUGCUCAGCUCACAGGCCAGUGAGUUUUACAUAUGUUACAUGAUUUGCACAAAUCGAUACGUAAUGUAGACGCACACGCUCACAUCUGGAACACGUGAGCCGUGGAGGCAGGGCUUUGAACAGUGACCUAGUUAGCACCUAGCAGCAUGUGGAUCUUCAGGGCAAAAAUAUAAUAUUUAUCUUUUUUUUUUUAAUGAACUGUUAGCUUUUAUAAGGCAGACUGUAGCACUAGCCUGUUUCACAGGGCUGCGUGACUCCUGCAGGAUGCAGCUACCACAAGAACGAGGCUUGGAGCUGCUUCACUUACCUGGCUGGCCAAGAAGCAAAACUCCAAAUUGCAGAUGAAUGUAGCGCAGCUGGGCGGAGGAUCUGCCCCAACUCAGCGUUGUCAUGUCCAUGGACAUGGAUUUUAAUUCUAGCUAUGGGAGUAGGGAAAAGAAAGCUUUAUCCAGAAAAAUAAAACUGGUCCGUUAUAUGGGAAAUACGGAAUAUAGGCAGGAUUCCGAAGGUCCUACCUAGAAAUAUCUUUCUGAGCCCUUCAGGGUGUCAGGGGUCCCUGUUUCUAUUUACCGCUUCCUCCUGUCGUGGCACCUGAGGCUCUAGAAGCCUUCCUUCUUGCCAGACACCUUUCUAGAAACAGCACUUUCUCCAUCGCGCGCGGGAAUGCUUGCAGAGCGCAAUCUCAAAUGGUCGGCCGCGAGCGUUUGCCCGGGAGCUUGAUUUAAGGAGCUGCGCUCGCCCAGCAAAAUCCAGGAGCUGUUCCUGCGAUACGCUCCCUUGAGCAGACCGGGGAGAAAAGUGGAGGCCAAGAACUUAAAUUUUAUGACCUUGUAAUGUCCGCAGGCUCAAACCCGUGACAAAAGUCUCACUGAUCAAGGCAAUUAUUAAAAAACAGGAGAAAGGUGGGGGGGGGGAACCCCAAACCUGUCCUUUCUCCGGAUUACCAGCUAAACAGCCUGUGAGCUGCAAUAAUUCUGCAAAAGAUGCCCUCAGGAGUGUUUUUUACAGUGAAAGCAGUCAUAAAUAAUAAUAAAAAAAAAGCAUGUGUGUGUAUUUUACAAAGCAAGGAAAAAAUUUCUUCCUCUUCAAGCCCGUAGUCUGUGAAUAAUUUGUGAACAAGAGAAGCAGCUCCAUCUAUCUUACACUGCAUUUGUUACAAAUCAUUUGCUCAUGUGUAAAUCUUUCUGCCAGGGUAGGAGCAGCAAAUCCUCCUUCAAUUGUUGUCUGCUGAAAAACUUCUAUAGCUAAACAUGAAAAAUUGAAUCAAUAAGUAACAGGUGUAGAGGUGCAUCCCGGGAUGAAUAUAUUCCCGGAGCCCGCGACGGAGGGGCUGGGUGACAGUGUUUAUGAGGCAGCUGGUGGCUGCGGGGCAGGAUUUCGGGCUGGCACAAAUUGCUGAGCCACAAGAGCUAAUAAUUUUGCAGGCGAACAAAAGCCAAACCCAAAAGACCAUCUCCAAAACCCACCUCCCACCCAGCACGCCUCCAGCGAGCAGGCAAACAGCCACGGCCCGAGUGAAAUGCCUCGGAGCAUCCCAUCUUGGAGAGCACCUUUCUGAGAGCUCACAGAAGGUCCCUAGGUGGCAACACUGCUCCUCCUGACCCUCCUGUGAGUCUUGUCGGGGUUGGUGGAUCUCUGAAAGCGCCUGCUUCGGCGAUUCUGUGACUAAGUGAGACCGUAAACUUCCAUUCACAAAUAGAAGUGAGAAAAAGAGUAUAUGUUUAAUGCUGGUGGUGGCAAAGGAAAGCGUAAACCUGUGCUCGCCGAAAGGCUCUGCCCUCUGAAGGCAAACUAAAAGAAUGGCUGAAACACCCAAUAAUUUAUUUAUUUAAAAGAAAUAAGAAGAUUUUAAAGCCAAAGCUGUGACGCUGGGAGAUGUGUCUCAUGAUCGCCAAACGCUUUGGGUUCUCACUCCGCUUGGAUAUUUCUGUAACCGAAAGCCCAACAUGUAACAACUGCAGAAAAGUGGUUCGGCCCUUCCAGCCUCUUCGCCCGGGACCAAGGAUGCUCCGCCGGGCCGUGGCACCGAGGGACCCCCCGCUCCCUCCCGUCACCCGUCCGUCCGGACUGGAAGCUCUCCGCAGGAAGCCAUUAGGUGUGGGCUGAAGCCGUCCAUGACCUUCGUCACAGCCACCUCCCUCAGCAACCGAGACCCAUGGCCAGGUGACGGGCCAAUGAAAUAGGUGCGCUGUCUGCAUCGAGUCCUGCACAGCGCCGGCGCAUUUCUAUCCGGAACAGAAAGAGCCUGCGGAGCAAACAGACCCGCCGGCAAACCCCAUCGCCCCCGACGCAGAGAGAUAAAAACGUGCAUCACUCACCAGGUCAGCUUCACACUCUCUCUUGCAAGUGCUCUGCGCGUCUACCCACAGGUUGGGGUUCAUGUCAUUGGGGCAUAUCCCAGCGUGGGAGUACCGGAUUGGAGGUAGGGCUCUCCCUUUCAGAGAGACCUCCAGAAGCAAGAGGACACUGCUCUUCCCCAGCAAGAUCCACAUCCACCGAGUGAACAGCACCAACAACAUCUCAGAACUUCUCCAGGGCAAUGGCAGUGACCGAGCUGGAGCAAGGGGCUGAUCCUGCUCGUGCUGAACCCGUGCCAAAAUCCAGAGACGAGUGGCAGAAGUCACAGUUGCUCAGCACCUUCCAGGAUUAGAGCCUUUGGGCUGACUUCUGGGCUAGUUUGGAUGGAUCCUGCACGGUGCUACGAGCCUCCUGGGAGGACCAGAGGGAUAUUCUCCAGGGACAGGUAAAUCCCACCGCGGCCCUCCGCUUUGGACACGCAGAUACCACGUGCGGUGCGCGAUGGCCAGGACGGCGGAGCUCGAGGGCUGACAGGGGACUGAGCCCAGCUGAAGGAGCAGCUGCGUGGGACAUGCAACUCAGCUGAUUUAAUUGUGUCCUCGCUGCAGCGUGAAGAGUCCACCUGCAGCCUACGUCGAAGCAGGGUUCACUGAGAUGCAGCACUUUCUCUUCCACGGCAGUUUUGAAGAUAACCGGUCCUCGACUGCCUGACAUGAUGGUGGCUGGCAGAGCGAUUCUAGGUUUGUUGAUACGGAAUUGUUACCUACACGGGACCCAUUCCCACCUCUGCCACUGACAUCUUCUGAGAGCCCAGACCACGGAGCCCCUCUGGGCCGCAGCUUCCACCUCUCUGAAAGGGAACACAAAGCUCACAGGAGGGUCAAGUGACACCAGUUUGUCUUUUAAAUCCCUCUGUCCUCCCAUUGCCGCAGAAGCGACGUGUGAGUGUGAGGUGUGAUUUGCUGCAACCCCAAAAUAGGCUAAAAAAAAAAAAGAAAAAUGCAAAAAUUGUAUCUACAGCCAUGUUUGUGUGUCUUAAGCCUAAGCCUAAGCACAACCCAUUCUAGCUCACACAUGCACAUACUUUUUUUUUUAAACUUUGCCAUGGUUAGAAACCUAAUAUGGUUCCUGUUUCAGAACAUGUUCUUGGUUUGUACUUUCUCAGCUCCCUCCCGAUUUCUUUGAGGAACCUGGCGUACCAAUGGCCGCAGAAAACCAGGUUAGCGCACAGUAGAGGCUUUCAUGGCCACUAAUCUUGAUGACAAAAUUAUUCGAACAAACACUUCUUGUGUCACCAAUAUAUAUUAUGUAAAACCUUGUGACUUUGAUUAUGUGCCUAUAAUACAGAUUAGUCUGUUUGGGUGUUUGGUGCUGACCUCCAAUAAGCUCCUAAAGUAUUAGCAAGAAUUUGCAAGUGACAGGCAGGCAGAGGUGCUGUUCUGCCUAAUCCCGUUCUCAAAACUCUGACUAUAUAUGUCUGAACAGUUUCUGUUGCUUUCCUUAAGGCACCGGGUUAUUUCUUCCUCUGCCCCCUCCCAACAGCCUUUGUCCUUCUCUCCACUGCUUUGAUGUAUCACAAAUGUUGGAAGAUUUAGCUAACCUUAUGGAUUAGAGCCAGGAAGACAGCGAGAACAAAUUUAGAAUAGGAGGCAGAGAAUGUACCAGCUGGGAGGUGAUGCUGUCAAUCUCCAUGGAGACCUCUUUAGUUACAGCUUUGCUAAUUACUCUGUUGAAUUGUAUAGCGUCUGGUUGGAAGCCCAUCCAAGUCAACGGAGAGUUUCUAAUUGACUGGUCGCGUCUCAGGACCACGAAGAGUGCACAGGGCAUAGCCCCUAAGUGUAACCGGUUAUGAUUUGCAUUUGUGGCUUUCUCCUUGAUGGCCAAAACACAGCCUAAGGAGGCUCCAGACACCUUGAUCCAGUCUUCUGCAUGGGGCCAGCUUCUUUAAAGGAAAAAGCCCUGCAGAAACAAACGUAGACCUUGUCUUGGCGAAACAAUUUUUGUUUUAGGAAUGCAGUGAACCAUCUCCAUCAGCUUGUUAACAGCAUGUGCGCUUCCCACAGGAGUCAGCUCCUGCAGGAGAUGAACUGGGACAAGACCCACAGAAGCCUUUUGGCUCCAAACACCCACAUCGGGCAUGGCCCUACGCAGGAGUCGUGCAGCUACGAACAUUUGCCCCACCUCCCCAGGAUGAGCCUGGUUCAUGGCUUGGGAGAGCAAAGCGAGGGACUCCAGACCUGGGCAGAGAGGAGUGCAGCCAGAUGUCUGGGGAAAAAACAAAGGCGGCCCCUUGCCUGCUCAGUUUUCUGGGUUAGGACAUCUCUCAGCUCCGAGGGGAGCCUGGAGACCCUACCCACAACCGCAACACAAGCAACAACAGCCCUCGGGGGAGAAGUUUGGAUCCACGGCACUGCAGCUCAGGCCUGUCAUUACUUGAAGCCAAACUGGCUUUAGACACUAAUCCACUCAACAAUUUCCAGUUGUUAUCAAAAUCUAUUGGACUUCUUAACCACGAGUCCCUGAGCUGAUGUACCACCCCCCUCAGGUUCCAGUCCUCUGACUUGUUUGUUCAGAAAUUAUUUAUUUGUCCUACAAAUAGGAACAAAGUUAAAUUAACAAAUGAAAAAAAAAAAAUCAGCCACACACUCUGCCUGAUUUCUAAACAGAUUUGGCUGCCUGAGCAGAUCCUUCCCCUGCAGAUAACCAUUCCCCCAAAUAUCAAUGCCAUUUUCCAGCCCCCAUCAAAUCUCACUCCAUGCUGCAGGUGUGUGUGCUCACGCCUCCUGAAGAAUCUCUUUCUUAGGCACCCAGCUUCCCAUCAGGCCCCUGCAGGAUGCUCAGCAGGGUUGAAAAUCCACAGCAUAGCUGGUUGCACUGCAAUUCAGGGAUGCUCCAGGUGGCUAAGGCCAGUCCUAAAUCCCAGCCCACUAUUGGUGUUGCAAUUCCUGCCCACUGAUCUGGUGAAAAGAGCCACGAUUUAAGGUCAAAAGAAAGGUGAUUGGUGAGCUCCCUGCAACUUUGCAAUACACUGUAAGGCUUUAUUUAUCUCAUCAAGAACAGAGAGGCUGAAGGAAGGGCCCCAGCCACCUCGCCUUCAGGUGCUCAGCCUGCCUGACACUAGACAUCUGGAAAUUACUGGGUUCAAAGCUCGUUUCCUUUGGCUCCUUUGACAGCAGGUAGGACACAAUAGGCAUCUCCAGAGGAUGAUUUGUCUGUGCUAUUCUUAGACACCUGCCCCAGGAUGAGAUGAAUCAGCCUCUGUGCUGCAUGUUUCUUCCCAUGGGCAUGAAGCGAGCGUUGGGUGACGCAGGCUCAGACUUGAUAACGUGGCACUUCGAAUUUAACCUAAUUCACCUACAAACUCUCACACAGGGACUUCCAUGGGGCCAGCACACAAACUGGUAUGAUAGAAACUGCUUCUCCCUUCGGGCUUUGACUUCUCUGAGACCGCCUCCUCCGCAUUCAAAUGCUCAAAGGCCCAAAGUAAGCAGCAUAAAUUAGUUUAAACCUAGGUGAAUAUUGGGCUUGACUUUUCAUUCAUUCUAUCUUUAUUCUCCACCAGUCCUGCCAUUUCUCUGAGCCUUAAUGCCACAACAGCUUUAAAUCUCUCUCUCUCUGUGCAUAUGCACAUUAACUAUUAUGUUUAGGGUUUCUGACUAUCCCUAAAUCUUAUUUCUAAUACCCUUACACCAGUGCAGGGUUGGUUGAAAUUGCUGGAAACAUUAUUUUGGUGGGUUGGGUGGGGACUGGGUGUUUCAAAUAUGAUUGUACAGCUGUAUCACUGUGUAACUGGGAAUUAAUCCCUUAAAAAGAUCUUUAAUAAUAAUUGUAAAUGACUGAGAACUUGGUUAAAGGAGUUGGGGAAUGAAACCUGAAAUGCAAAGGGAGUGAAAAAUUUCAUAAGCCUUAAAAAAAACAACCAGAAGCAAACACCAAACAGACAGACCAUGGUUUCUCCAAAAAAGGAGAAAAGAAUCAAUCCAGAGGUUCAGUCACAGUCGGAAGCUUGCAGAAAGACAGAUAUUAAAACUAAACCAAUAAAAUCUGGAAAACUUGCUCUGAGGACAAAGAAUGGCCCAACUCUGCCUUGUGGUUACUCCAAGCAGCAGCAGGAUGUCCAAGCACGUAACAGCUAAGCGCUGGCUCUGCACUGCCAGGCAUGCCUCCGCGUUCCCAGCGAUGCCCGAGGCUGUCAGGGCUGCGCCCAAGGCUGGUGGAUACGAUUCCCCCUCGAGUGGUGACUGCAUAGGGAGCACUGAGCACCUCUAAAUCACAAAGAAAACAAAAUGUCACUGAUCUGGGCUCCACACACACAAACGCUCUCACCACGGCUCAGAGCUCAGCGUGUUCCUGCUGAAGGCCAAGGACAUUCAGGAGGCACAUUUGGGAGGCGACGCGACUGCUCGCUUUUGCGCAGUCGAGCCGUGAGCAGGCAGCAGCGGGUGCGAUUCCCAGCAGCUUCCACAGGUGAUGAUGGCCAGUCCUCUGCCAGCACCUGCCUCCGCGCAUCCGGAUCCGCGCAGCCCCUGCUGCUCUCGCUAGGGAGAUGUAUGCACGUGUGCCCUGCAUAGGUACCGGCACCGUGAGGGCUUGCCAAGUGCGGGCACCAUCCCACCUGCCAUAUGGGAAAGGGGAGGGAAGGCGCAGGGAGAGAACACGGUCUUGGCUUUGCUCGGUUUUGGUGCGUGCAACACUAGUGCUGAUAAACGGGGAGGGGGCACUGCGUGGGAGGGGGGUCUGAGGCUCCACGCGCGAGGCACGAGCAGGCUCAUGGCAGCAGUGGGGAGUUUUGAGUCAAGUGAACUCGCUGCUAAUCCUCUUCUACACAGUCUUUCUUGCGGGAGGAAAUCUUAUGACUCCAGGGAGAAGUACGUUGUGUAACUAAGCAAUGGUGAACCCGAGUUGCAUUUAACAGGGCUUGGCACAAGCACGACAGAGUAGGAUACUCAUCCCAAGAGAGCGUGAGAGAGACCGUCUCAGUGCAUCGCCCGCCGGCUUCGAGUCCUUAAAAGCCCUGGUGUAGCCUUGGGAGAGGAGCUCAAGUAGAGGGAAAAAAAAAUAAAAGGAAAAAAAGCCCCAUAACCCUAAAGAAAUCGUCUCAUUGUGCAGGGCUUCCCUGCGCUUGUUGUUGAAACGUUGCAUAAUGUCCCUUGCACUGCACAGAGCUUUGAAAUCCGCAGGAUCAAAGCUGUAUGGAGACACUAUGGAUGUGCUGAGGCAAAUCUAAAGGCAUUUUACAAUUACAGCAGGAAGCACAAAGCCACACUUUGAGCUCCUCUUGCUGUUCCACCGUGACACCUAGUGGCACAGCACAGAUUUACUGUGUUUCUGUUUUUAGGCCUACUCCUGCACUCGUCUCCUGAACAGCUUUUCCCCAUCUGUCUGAGACAUCACGUACGACUUUGGAAAAGGCUAUUUUGCCACUUUAUCCCAUUGGAUUUUUCCAGAUUUAACAAGUUGGGAUUUAAAGCUUUCACAGCGUGCAAGACAGCGUUCUGCUUCCUUAGAACGUGUCCCCAGGUCUCCAUAUUUGUGAGCCACAUCUUUGGUAUUCGACUUUAUCCCACAGAUGCUGAAAACAGACAAAAGGGAUUGUCGGUUAAAGUGUGGGCAUUUAAGACAGCUUUCACUGAAAAAGGGAGAGCGCUAAAAAAAAAAAGAUCUGGGUCACAGCAGCGUCCAGUUGAAAGCUCAUCUUGCAGGUCUCUGAGGUCUGAAUUUGCAGUUGUCACGGGGUAAAUCUUGUUUGCAAACCAUUCUCUGAAUCGUUUCUCAUACAGUUGGUUGUGUCUGUUGGUUCGAGCCGGGCAAAAUUUUGGCUCAGCCCGUUGCAGUCUGUUGCGUGAGGUGACCAGCAUGUGAUCCGGUGUUAAAAAACCGCCACCGAGGCACUGCGUACCCUUUGGCACGCCAGUUAAAAAUGCCACUGCUGUUUGAGCUCGGAGAAACAGAAAGGCCUCGCCUGUGGGCCUCAGCCUCUGCCGAAUGAAAGGAAGGUGACUGACUGCAACCCAAGCCCUAAAUUAAACGGCAGUUUAAAAAUAACGACACUAAUAAGAAAAGUAAGCAAUAAAAGCG